rnacentral:lncRNA from 1 species
UCUAUUUGGUUUUGGUUCUUUGUUCUGUCAAAAUUAUUUUUAUAGGUCAGGAGAAAACAGGGUAAAGCAUGGCAACAAAAUCAGAAGUUUUCUUUAAAAAGUCAGGAUCAUUGGCAGUUUUCUUUGGCCUAAAUCCUGUAACAUGCCACACCAUUAGCAGAACUUUUCCCCUCAGUGAACAAAGGUCUUCUCUUCAGUUUGAAGGCCCAAAGAAUGCAGCAUUUGCAAUAGACCAUGAAAGCUGAUUCAUCCUUCUCCGGGAAAUGCAGGCCCUAUCUGUACUGUUUUUAACAUAAAUUGGAUUAAUCAGAGAUUCAUUUAUUCCAAGCAGACUGUUUUGAGGUCCUGUGAAGGAGCAUUCACCUUGGGAUCUCAAGGUCUUUAGUUCAAAUCCCAGCAGAUGAGAGCUCUGUUUCCUCUUAGACAAUGAAAAGUGUUCCUAGAAAAAAAAAAAGCAGAAUUCUCAAUCUCUAAUGUACAUGCAUCUACUGGGAUUUAAAUACUUACCAUUUUCUGAAUCAAGUAUAAUUUCAGAAAUGGUUCUGGAAUUAAUUUUUCACAUGAUAAAGAACAACAAAUAAGCAUAACUAAAAACAAAAUUUUAAAGAAAAUACAUCAAGACCAACCUCUGUGAUAUAUAUACUAAAAAUACACAACACAUAAAACCUGUUCAGCAUGCCAUCUUCUUUCACUUCCUGUCCCACCCAAACAUUUUUUUAACAGAUAAAUUGUGUUGUAUUUCUAAGAUGCAAGUGUGGGUAGAAUGUUUUAUGCAGCAAAAUUCUGUAGCCCUUUCAUACACCCUUUCUUCUUCAUCAUCUCCCAGUUACCCCGAGUCCAUUUGUGCCCUACUUCCCAAUCAGGAAAACCCUGUAGAUGUGUUGAAGACGUACACUUGAAUUCCAGUAGUCACAGCUCCCACUCUGCCCUAAGGAACUGUCUCCUCCAGUGUUUACCCUUCCUUUGGCUGAAGUUGUGUCUUUUUCCCAACUUUUCCUGUCUCCUGUUCCCUGGGCCAUUAUUGGUACCAAGGGACACAGCACAGGAAAUCACUGCCUUUGCUCAGGACUCCUGCUGGGUUUUUUUUUGUUUGUUUGUUUGUUUUGCUUUGGAGAUGCAGGGUAUAGAUUUCUCUGAUUCAUCAAGAAUGUUAAAGGAAUGUGCAUCUGUCCUCUCAAAGUGUAUUCCACUACUGACAGAAAUCAAGAACACCAAGUCCAGAAGUCAGCUUUUAAAGUGUAGGGGGUCUUUAUUGGAGCAGCCUCUCAACCUA